rnacentral:rRNA from 1 species
CAGCAGCCGCGGUAAUACGAAGGGUGCAAGCGUUACUCGGAAUUACUGGGCGUAAAGCGUGCGUAGGUGGUGGUUUAAGUCCGAUGUGAAAGCCCUGGGCUCAACCUGGGAAUUGCAGUGGAUACUGGGUCACUAGAGUGUGGUAGAGGAUAGUGGAAUUUCCGGUGUAGCAGUGAAAUGCGUAGAGAUCGGAAGGAACAUCUGUGGCGAAGGCGACUAUCUGGGCCAACACUGACACUGAGGCACGAAAGCGUGGGGAGCAAACAGGAUUAGAUACCCCUGUAGUCCCUGUCUCUUAUAC